rnacentral:rRNA from 1 species
AGCUCCAAAAGCGUAUAUUAAAGUUGUUGCAGUUAAAAAGCUCGUAGUUGAACCUUGGGCUUGGUUGGCCGGUCCAUCUUUCUGAUGCGUACUGGACCCAACCGAGCCUUUCCUUCUGGCUAGCCUUUUGGCGAACCAGGACUUUUACUUUGAAAAAAUUAGAGUGUUCAAAGCAGGCCUUUGCUCGAAUAUAUUAGCAUGGAAUAAUAGAAUAGGACGUUAUGGUUCUAUUUUGUUGGUUUCUAGGACCAUCGUAAUGAUUAAUAGGGACGGUCGGGGGUAUCAGUAUUCAGUUGUCAGAGGUGAAAUUCUUGGAUUUACUGAAGACUAACUACUGCGAAAGCAUUUACCAAGGACGUUUUCA